rnacentral:rRNA from 1 species
AAUGAACGCUGGCGGCAUGCCUUACACAUGCAAGUCGAACGGCAGCAUGACCUAGCUUGCCAGGUUGAUGGCGAUUGGCGAACGGGUGAGUAAUGCAUCUGAACUUCCCUGUUAGUGGGGGAUAACGUUGCAAAAGUUACGCAAAUACCGCAUAUUCUCGGAGGAGGAAAUCAUGGGACCUUCGGGCCUUGCGCUAGAACAGCGGGCUAUGUCGGAUUAGUAAGUUGUAGAGGGUAAGGCUCACGAAGACAACGAACAGUAGCCGUUUGGAGAGGAGGAUGGGCAACACUGGGCCUGAGCCCAGCCCCAGACUCCUACGGGAGGAAGAAGUGGGGAAUUUUGGACAUAGGGGGAAACCCUGCUCAAGACAUGCCGCUGGAGUGAGGAAGGCCUUCGGUUUGUAAAGCUUUUUCUGCUGGGAAGAAAUCGCACCCUCUAAUACAGGGUCUGUAUGACGGUAGCAGAAUAAGAAGCACCGGCUAACUACGUG